rnacentral:rRNA from 1 species
CCUGGCUCAGACUGAACGCUGGCGGCGCGCCUAACACAUGCAAGUCGAACGAGAGAUGAGGAGCUUGCUCUUCAAAUCGAGUGACGAACGGGUGAGUAACGCGUGAGGAACCUGCCUCAAAGAGGGGGACAACAGUUGGAAACGACUGCUAAUACCGCAUAAGCCCACGGCUCGGCAUCGAGCAGAGGGAAAAGGAGCAAUCCGCUUUGAGAUGGCCUCGCGUCCGAUUAGCUAGUUGGUGAGGUAACGGCCCACCAAGGCAACGAUCGGUAGCCGGACUGAGAGGUUGAACGGCCACAUUGGGACUGAGACACGGCCCAGACUCCUACGGGAGGCAGCAGUGGGGAAUAUUGCACAAUGGGGGAAACCCUGAUGCAGCGACGCCGCGUGGAGGAAGAAGGUCUUCGGAUUGUAAACUCCUGUUGUUGAGGAAGAUAAUGACGGUACUCAACAAGGAAGUGACGGCUAACUACGUGCCAGCAGCCGCGGUAAAACGUAGGUCACAAGCGUUGUCCGGAAUUACUGGGUGUAAAGGGAGCGCAGGCGGGAGAACAAGUUGGAAGUGAAAUCCAUGGGCUCAACCCAUGAACUGCUUUCAAAACUGUUUUUCUUGAGUAGUGCAGAGGUAGGCGGAAUUCCCGGCGUAGCGGUGGAUUGCGUAGAUAUCGGGAGGAACACCAGUGGCGAAGGCGGCCUACUGGGCACCAACUGACGCUGAGGCUCGAAAGUGUGGGUAGCAAACAGGAUUAGAUACCCUGGUAGUCCACACCGUAAACGAUGAUUACUAGGUGUUGGAGGAUUGACCCCUUCAGUGCCGCAGUUAACACAAUAAGUAAUCCACCUGGGGAGUACGACCGCAAGGUUGAAACUCAAAGGAAUUGACGGGGGCCCGCACAAGCAGUGGAGUAUGUGGUUUAAUUCGACGCAACGCGAAGAACCUUACCAAGUCUUGACAUCCUGCGACGCACAUAGAAAUAUGUGUUUCCUUCGGGACGCAGAGACAGGUGGUGCAUGGUUGUCGUCAGCUCGUGUCGUGAGAUGUUGGGUUAAGUCCCGCAACGAGCGCAACCCUUAUGGUCAGUUACUACGCAAGAGGACUCUGGCCAGACUGCCGUUGACAAAACGGAGGAAGGUGGGGAUGACGUCAAAUCAUCAUGCCCUUUAUGACUUGGGCUACACACGUACUACAAUGGCGUUAAACAAAGAGAAGCAAGACCGCGAGGUGGAGCAAAACUCAGAAACAACGUCCCAGUUCGGACUGCAGGCUGCAACUCGCCUGCACGAAGUCGGAAUUGCUAGUAAUCGUGGAUCAGCAUGCCACGGUGAAUACGUUCCCGGGCCUUGUACACACCGCCC